rnacentral:lncRNA from 1 species
UUUGUACUACAACCAUGUUUUGUUUUGCUCUAAUUGCCUUGGAAUUUUUCCUGCUUGUUAAACAUCCUAGCAAACCCGUAAGUCCAUGGGAUGAGAGCCAUUGAGAUAUUUUUAGUCCCUAUUUUAAUAACUUAGAGAUUCUGUCGAGAAAGGUUUUUCCCCAAAACAUUUACUAACAAUUUUUAAUUCUGCUCAAACUAACUUUGCCAUCUUGACUAGAACUUAAAGAGACCCUGAUCUGGAGUUUUUGGGCACUAGCAAAGUCCAUUUGAUGCAAGUAGCAUUCUCUCGAAUAAGUUGUGUGCAUGACCAGAUUUGGCAUAGUUUAGAGUUUAAAUUGGCAACUUUCUUCCCUCGCCCAUACUGCAUGUCUAGCAGCUCUGACUUGGUCUCUAGCCCGGCCCUGUGUAGUUUCGUG